GGCUGUUCCAAAGGUAGCAAGUCAUCUCAAUUGAUUGUUCACUGUCAGUUACAGAUUUAACUCUUUGUUACACUCUUACCCCUUUCUCACUACUGCACUUGACUACACACAC
rnacentral:Y_RNA from 1 species